CAAAACCCAGAAAAUAAUCAAAGCUCCAUUGUGUAAUGUUUUGAGUUGAUUCUUAGCCAAAACCCCUUUGUUCUUUCCCAAAUAUGUGCUUAUUCAUGUGUAAUUACUUCCACCGAUUAAUCAAACUAUUCUCGUAAGCGUAGAAUCAGCCAUUCAGAAUCAUUUAGAAUACCUACGAGCGAGCGAGCUCAAAUGGCGGCAAACAUGU